rnacentral:lncRNA from 1 species
CACAGAGACACAGAGAGGAGGGUGAUGUGAAGACAGAGGCAGACAUGGGAGCAAUGUAUCUACAAGCCACGGAACUCGAAGGGUGGCUGGGAGCCAGCAGAAGCUAGAAAGACGCAAGGAAGGAGCCUUGCCUAGAGCCUUUGGAGGGGGCAUGGCACUGAUGACAACUUAAUUUCAGACUUCUAGUCUCUGGAAUGCACUCCAUCUGCAUCGUGCGAGCCCCCACAUUCAACUAGGAUGGAAUAUCGCAGUGUUGGCUUCCUGAGUGGCCGCUGAGCUGAGGGCCUGCAUGACAAACCCUGGAGGCGUUAUCACAGGCUCACCUUCAUGCCAGCUUGCAGGCCCUCAGUCAGAUUGACAGACAGCGCUAAGGAUGAGAACGUGGCCCCUGAAGAUGAUCCAGAUCUGUGAAAGUGACCGCAGAUGGGGUCUGCUCCAAGAUGACUUCAUGAGAGGAUGGCAAAGGAUCAUUUGUUACCAUUUAUGUUUACAAUGCAACUGCUGACACUGCAACUGACAAUAGGAAGGGAAUAUGAUGGAAGGAAUCUAGGAUUGAUUUUUUCUUUUUUUUUUCCUUCGGUCUUGGGAUGGAGAAAGGAAGGAGGUGAAGGUACAGUCAUGGAAGUCUCUGAUCAGGGUUGUGGAGCCCCUCUUCCUCUAAAUGGAUUAGAGAGGUCAGAAAGCAAUCAUCAGGACUUUGGAUCAAAUCCCUGCUCUGCAACAUUCUUUGAUGCCUCAAAAUAGUAAACAACUCUGAGUCUCCUCUAUUGUAAAAAUUGGAAUAAUAAUACCCAAUUCUCAAGCUUAUUAUGAGGAUUAAAUAACAGUGUCCGUGAGGAACACAGGCAAUGCCGGGCACCACAGAGUGACUGCUCAGGAGUUGGGAAUCACUCCUAAACUCUUCUCCAGGCUGCCGCAGAUCUGCCUCGAGACUCCGUUUCCGCGGUUUGUCCAGUUUGUCCACGGAAGUGCAGCCUGGAAUCUUUCCUGCUUCUGCACGUCAGAAAUCUACUCAACAAGCAGGUGCAUGGGAGAGAGAUUUGUUAUCGGUAUGUGAUACUUACAGCUGUGGCACCCAUCUUGAGACGAGGAGGUCAGUCACCCUAAGAAGAUACACCAGCGUGCUGAGGAAGACAUGGUAGAAACAUAGAAGAAUUUAGGUCCUCAGUGAUAUCGUUGAGCUGAUGAAUUCACCAACCUACAACUGUUCUAACCCUGGAUUUCUUUUUAUGUGAGAUAAUAUAUUUCCUUGUUUAAACCAUUUGGAUUUGGCCUUUUAUUAUCUCUGCCUGAAAUGUUCUAACCAAUAAACCUCUUUAUUCUCAUA